GGAGCAGAAAAGAGAGAGGGAGACCGUGUGUGGAUGUGUGUGCGAGGUGGGGGGGGACCGCAUCAUUCACCGGAAUGGGAAUCGCCGCCUCCCCCUGUUCUCGGCGAGCGGAGCUGCCCGAGCCAGCGGAGCCGAAAGUUGCUGGGCCGGGGCUGAGCGGGGAUCCUGGCACACGGCCCCGCCGCCGCCGCCUCCGACUGACAUCAGCCUCCCCUCCCCCUCCUCGCUCCUCCUGGGCAAGCUUGACUGGCGUAAAAUUAAUAAUUAAUAGGGUGAAAUUGAUUAAAGGGCUGGGCGCACGAUGGGGGCGCUCGGAGAGCCCUUCCCCUACCCGGUCGCUCCUCAUCCGCCUCCGCCUCCCCGCCGGCAGCGGCCCGGGAGCGGGGACUGGCCGCCGCCGGCGAGCCAGGGGAGCUCCGGGGGCAGCUCAACCCGAGCAGGAAGGAAAAGGGCGGCGGGGACCGGGAAGGAGGAGGAAGGCGGUGGCUGCAGCAGCAAACCCUGCUGGGUGGCUGGCUGUAACCGAGAUCGGCCGCGCUAGCGGCGGCGGCGGCAGGCGGGGGCUGGCUCCGGGGCUGGCUCGGCUCAGCGCAGCUGGGUUUGUGUGUGUGUGUGCGUGUGCGUGAGUGUGCGUGUGUGUACAAAGCCGGGUCCCGGGAGCUGCCCGAGGGCGGUGCUCGGCAGCACAAGGCCAGCCCCCCUUGCCCCCCCGCUUCUCCCCUACCACGAUCAGUCUCUGCCACGGAGGGAGUGGGGAACCGCGGGGGACGCGGCCGGGCCAACGCACGCCUCAGCCUCCAGCCCCGCGGAGUGUCUGGAUUGAUGGAGAACUGCGGACGGCACUUUCUUCCCCCGGCUCCCUCCUGCACCAGGGCUCCGCCGGAGCCUCUUACCGCACCCGGCGCUCCACGCCAGCGUGACCCAAGAUAACCCGGCCCCGGGGAGGCCGGGGCGAGCGGGGGAGGGCGCUUAACCAAACCAAACAGAUCGAUCUGUCCCCAGCCGGGGCCGCGGGAGCCCGGGGUGGGAGCGGGGGGAAUAUCGGGGCGCCCCUCGCAGCGGCGCCCAGACGGGCGGGGGGGAGCCGCCGUCCCCGCCGUCCUGGAGUAGCCCGUUCCCCCAGCACGCCCGAUGGGGGGCGGAAGGGAGAUCGCGGCAGGGCCCGUAACGACACAAGGGAUAAACACCAAAGUUAUCACCAGCCGUGACCAAAAUAAAUGCCUGUGAUAAAAAAGCA